rnacentral:rRNA from 1 species
GAGUGGCGAACGGGUGAGUAACACGUGGGUAAUCUGCCCUGCACUCUGGGAUAAGCCUUGGAAACGGGGUCUAAUACCGGAUAUCACAACUUCAGGCAUCUGGGGUUGUUGAAAGUUCUGGCGGUGCAGGAUGAACCCGCGGCCUAUCAGCUUGUUGGUGGGGUAAUGGCCUACCAAGGCGACGACGGGUAGCCGGCCUGAGAGGGUGACCGGCCACACUGGGACUGAGACACGGCCCAGACUCCUACGGGAGGCAGCAGUGGGGAAUAUUGCACAAUGGGCGAAAGCCUGAUGCAGCGACGCCGCGUGAGGGAUGACGGCCUUCGGGUUGUAAACCUCUUUCGCCAGGGACGAAGCGCAAGUGACGGUACCUGGAUAAGAAGCACCGGCUAACUACGUGCCAGCAGCCGCGGUAAUACGUAGGGUGCGAGCGUUGUCCGGAAUUAUUGGGCGUAAAGAGCUCGUAGGCGGUUUGUCGCGUCGGCCGUGAAAUCUCCACGCUUAACGUGGAGCC